rnacentral:rRNA from 1 species
CCCCUAGAUGUUCUGGGCCGCACGCGCGCUACACUGAACAGUUCAACAAGUCUUAACCUUGGCCGAUAGGUCUGGGUAAUCUUUGAACGCUGUUCGUGAUUGGGAUAGACCUUUGCAAUUAUGGGUCUUCAACGAGGAAUUCCUAGUAAACGCAAGUCAUCAGCUUGCAUUGAUUACGUCCCUGCCCUUUGUACACACCGCCCGUCGCACCUACCGAUUGAAUGGUCCGGUGAAGGCUUCGGAGGCGGCUUUCUCAAUGUUUAUUCGGCGAGACUGCUGCCAAAGUUGAAUGAACCUUACCAUUUAGAGGAAGGUGAANUCGUAACA